UACGGGGGGGGCAAGCGUUGUUCGGAAUUACUGGGCGUAAAGGGUGCGUAGGCGGUUUGCUAAGUUGGAUGUGAAAACUCUGGGCUUAACUCAGAGCCUGCAUUCAAAACUGACAAGCUAGAGUUCUGGAGGGGGUAGCGGAAUUCCUGGUGUAGCGGUGAAAUGCGUAGAUAUCAUUUGGAACGCCAAUGGUGAAAACAGGUAGCUGGGAGUGUGCUGACGCUGAGACACGAAAGCCAGGGGAGCGAACGGG
rnacentral:rRNA from 1 species